GACGAACGCUGGCGGCGUGCUUAACACAUGCAAGUCGAACGCUGAAGCCCAGCUUUUGUUGGGUGGAUGAGUGGCGAACGGGUGAGUAACACGUGAGUAACCUGCCCCCUUCUUUGGGAUAACGCCCGGAAACGGGUGCUAAUACUGGAUAUUCACUGGUCUUCGCAUGGGGGGUGGUGGAAAGGGCUGUUCUGGGGGGGGAUGGGCUCGCGGCCUAUCAGCUUGUUGGUGGGGUGAUGGCCUACCAAGGUGUUGACGGGUAGCCGGCCUGAGAGGGUGACCGGGCACAUUGGGACUGAGAUACGGCCCAGACUCCUACGGGGGGCAGCAGUGGGGAAUAUUGCGCAAUGGGCGGCAGCCUGAUGCAGCGCCGGAGCGUGAGGGAUGGCGGCCUUCGGGUUGUGAACCUCUUUCGCUCAUGGUCAAGCCGCAACAAUGGUUGUGGUGAGGGUAGUGGGUAAAGAAGCGCCGGCUAACUACGUG
rnacentral:rRNA from 1 species